rnacentral:rRNA from 1 species
GACGAACGCUGGCGGCGUGCCUAACACAUGCAAGUCGAACGGAGAUACGAUUUCGGUUGUAUCUUAGUGGCGAACGGGUGAGUAACGCGUGAACAACCUGACUCUCAGAGGGGGAUAACACUCGGAAACGGGUGCUAAUACCGCAUAAGACCACGACCCGGCAUCGGGAUGAGGUCAAAGGAGCAAUCCGCUGAGAGAGGGGUUCGCGUCCCAUUAGAUAGACGGCGGGGUAACGGCCCACCAUGUCGACGAUGGGUAGCCGAGCUGAGAGGCUGAUCGGCCACACUGGAACUGAGACACGGUCCAGACUCCUACGGGAGGCAGCAGUGGGGAAUAUUGGGCAAUGGGCGCAAGCCUGACCCAGCAACGCCGCGUGAGGGAAGAAGGCUUUCGGGUUGUAAACCUCUGUCCUUGGUGACGAAACAAAUGACGGUAGCCAAGGAGGAAGCCCCGGCUAACUACGUGCCAGCAGCCGCGGUAA